AUAGGCCACCUCCCCCUAGUUACACCAACAUCCACAGCCAGACCCCAUCAUAAUGUUGUUCUUGUUUUGUUCCUCCUUGCAAUGCAACCAUCUCUUUGCUCCACAGAUAUGCCUGCCUUCCUUGAAUCGGAACCUUCCAUGCCUCGGGAUGCGUGCCGCUACGCUCGGCCCGGAGAUCUUCCUGACUUGCCGGUUCCCCUGCAGAAUGCAAGAAGUGAAACAUGAUCAAUUUUUUUGAGGAAGGAUUUGAAACUGCAUGCAAGUUUGCAUUUCAGGUGACCCUACACUGAAAAACGUUAGACUUUCAGGUGUACUUUGUUUGAUU
rnacentral:sRNA from 1 species